AUGACCGUUGGAUGUCGUCUUGGUUUUAGGGACACUGAUCUCUUUAACCUCGCGAUGCUAGCAGAACAAGGAUGGAGGAUACUCCAGGAACCUAGUUCGUUGAGUGCAAAUAUUUUGAAGGCAAAGUAUUUCCCAUCGUCUGACUUGUUGAAAUUAGAAAUUGGGUCACAACCGUCACAAGUAUGGAGAGCUGUUCAUGCAGGUUUGGAAGUUUUAAAACAAGGGAUCAUACGACGGAUCGAUGAUGGGGGAUCCAUGAAUGUGUGGAACCAAAACUACUCGCGAUGGUGGCGCGCCGGGUCAGAGAGCACCCGUGGCCGCUAG
rnacentral:rRNA from 1 species